AAACUCUUCUCUUACUUUUGUAUGGGGUUGCCCCUACAAUUCAUUGUUGAGCUGUUAAUUUCUACCCUGGUAGAUUAAUUAUUUUAUUUAUAUUUCUUCUUUUGGUAGACAGCAGUUCAUUCAUUUUAUUUAAAUCUGUUCUCUGUCAAUGUUUUCAGGUGAGAUUCUAGUCCUAUUUCUGCCUGGAAAACAAUGUACACAAAGGAGCCUGUUCUUUUCUGGGGAAGUUAUUUUCUGUUCCUAAAGUGCCCAAGUGCCCAAGACUUGAUGAAAUAUACACUCAGAUUCAGUGAGUUGCAAAAAUCCAACUUGCUUUUUCUCUGCCGGAUAUCUUUCCUUCUGAACACCAAGCCCUUUAGGAGUGGGAAGGCAGAACCUCCUAGGGAAACUGAAUUUAGCAAAAUAGGUGCUUCGAGAAGCCUCAGGAACCCAGUGCAAGUGCCCUUAUUACAGAAACCUGACAAGACAGCUGCUGAAACACACACUUAGAAAUCUUUGUUUAGAAAUAAAUUCUAAAUGAAGCCUUUGAAGACUAAAUAU
rnacentral:lncRNA from 1 species